rnacentral:rRNA from 1 species
CUUCGGGCCUCUUGCCAUCGGAUGUGCCCAGAUGGGAUUAGCUAGUAGGUGGGGUAACGGCUCACCUAGGCGACGAUCCCUAGCUGGUCUGAGAGGAUGACCAGCCACACUGGAACUGAGACACGGUCAAAAUCUAUACGGGAGGCAGCAGUGGGGAAUAUUGCACAAUGGGCGCAAGCCUGAUGCAGCCAUGCCGCGUGUAUGAAGAAGGCCUUCGGGUUGUAAAGUACUUUCAGCGGGGAGGAAGGCGAUGAGGUUAAUAACCUUGGCGAUUGACGUUACCCGCAGAAGAAGCACCGGCUAACUCCGUGCCAGCAGCCGCGGUAAUACGGAGGGUGCAAGCGUUAAUCGGAAUUACUGGGCGUAAAGCGCACGCAGGCGGUCUGUCAAGUCGGAUGUGAAAUCCCCGGGCUCAACCUGGGAACUGCAUUCGAAACUGGCAGGCUAGAGUCUUGUAGAGGGGGGUAGAAUUCCAGGUGUAGCGGUGAAAUGCGUAGAGAUCUGGAGGAAUACCGGUGGCGAAGGCGGCCCCCUGGACAAAGACUGACGCUCAGGUGCGAAAGCGUGCGGAGCAAACAGGAUUAGAUACCCUGGUAGUCCACGCCGUAAACGAUGUCGACUUGGAGGUUGUGCCCUUGAGGCGUGGCUUCCGGAGCUAACGCGUUAAGUCGACCGCCUGGGGAGUACGGCCGCAAGGUUAAAACUCAAAUGAAUUGACGGGGGCCCGCACAAGCGGUGGAGCAUGUGGUUUAAUUCGAUGCAACGCGAAGAACCUUACCUACUCUUGACAUCCAGAGAACUUAGCAGAGAUGCUUUGG